CCCUUCGGGGGGCUCGAGUGGCGAACGGGUGAGUACACGUGGGUGAUCUGCCCUGCACUUUGGGAUAAGCCUGGGAAACUGGGUCUAAUACCGAAUAUGAUCACGGNNNNNNNNNNNNNNGGUGGAAAGCNUNNNCGGUGUGGGAUGGGCCCGCGGCCUAUCAGCUUGUUGGUGGGGUAAUGGCCUACCAAGGCGACGACGGGUAGCCGGCCUGAGAGGGUGACCGGCCACACUGGGACUGAGAUACGGCCCAGACUCCUACAGGAGGCAGCAGUGGGGAAUAUUGCACAAUGGGCGCAAGCCUGAUGCAGCGACGCCGCGUGAGGGAUGACGGCCUUCGGGUUGUAAACCUCUUUCAGCACAGACGAAGCGCAAGUGACGGUAUGUGCAGAAGAAGGACCGGCCAACUACGUGCCAGCAGCCGCGGUAAUACGUAGGGUCCGAGCGUUGUCCGGAAUUACUGGGCGUAAAGAGCUCGUAGGUGGUUUGUCGCGUUGUUCGUGAAAACUCACAGCUUAACUGUGGGCGUGCGGGCGAUACGGGCAGACUGGAGUACUGCAGGGGAGACUGGAAUUCCUGGUGUAGCGGUGGAAUGCGCAGAUAUCAGGAGGAACACCGGUGGCGAAGGCGGGUCUCUGGGCAGUAACUGACGCUGAGGAGCGAAAGCGUGGGGAGCGAACAGGAUUAGAUACCCUGGUAGUCCACGCCGUANACGGUGGGUACUAGGUGUGGGUUUCCUUCCUUGGGAUCCGUGCCGUAGCUAACGCAUUAAGUACCCCGCCUGGGGAGUACGGCCGCAAGGCUAAAACNNNAAGGAAUUGACGGGGGCCCGCACAAGCGGCGGAGCAUGUGGAUUAAUUCGAUGC
rnacentral:rRNA from 1 species